UGAGGGCGGGAGGCCGAGCUGAGGCGGCGCUUCGUCUUCCCGCUCCUCUUCCUCUUCCCGCUCCUCUUUCUCUCCUUUUUCCUGCCCCUUCUUUCCUUUUCCGCGUCGUGGGGACAGAGCUGGCUCCCCGGAGGCGCUCCCGCCCCACACGGGCAGGAUCGAGCCGCGAUGCCCGGCCCGGCCCUGAGGGUGGCCUCGGGAGCCGCUGUAGCGGCGCUCAUGGGACCCCUCACAGGGAUGGAGGGAGCUCGGUGACAUCCAGCGGCUCCUCGCCGGCGCUUUGCCUUCCAGCCAGCGCAGAGGCGUCCCUUGCACCUCACAAGAGCUUUUGUUGUUGGUCUUGGGAGCACAGAACUAGAGCUGCUGUAGAUCAGAAGUAUGCAUCCAUUGCAUGAAAAACAGAUUUUCAAUGAGGUACCAGUUACCAGCGUUAAAGGACCACCCCUAAACUAUGUCCCAAAUCGUGACAUAUCUUCUAUUUUCAGACCAAAUUCCAGUCUGUAAAGAAAAGCACUGCUGUAUGCACCAGAAAAGGGAGAGCACUGUGAGGAAUAUUAAUACCAAGCAAUAAUGAAGAAAAAUGCCGCUGUUUAAAAUACAGCGGUAAAUGACCCUUACAACCAUGAUAAAUUUCAAACCCAUAUCUGCUCACAUUUUCAAAGGCUUCAGAAGAAUACUGUGGACUAAAAACUCUUAAUGAUUGCUUUAUCCCUCUCUUUUGUACUUAAAAGCAGGAGCAGCUGUUACCAGUACUCACACAGAACC